GACGAACGCUGGCGGUAUGCUUAACACAUGCAAGUCGAACGAGACGAGAUGGAAGUGCUUGCACGGAAAUCUUAGAAAGUGGCGAACGGGUGAGUAACGCGUGGGUAACCUGCCCUAUGGAAAGGAAUAGCCUCGGGAAACUGGGAGUAAUGCCUUAUAAUAUAGUGAAGUCGCAUGGCUUUAUUAUUAAACGCUCCGGUGCCAUAGGAUGGACCCGCGUCCCAUUAGCUAGUUGGUGAGAUAACAGCCCACCAAGGCGACGAUGGGUAACCGGUCUGAGAGGGCGAACGGUCACACUGGAGCUGAGACACGGUCCAGACUCCUACGGGAGGCAGCAGUGGGGAAUAUUGCGCAAUGGGGGAAACCCUGACGCAGCAAUACCGCGUGAGUGAAGAAGGUUUUCGGAUCGUAAAGCUCUGUUAUUGGGGAAGAAAAAAGACGGUACCCAAGAAGAAAGUCCCGGCUAACUACGUGCCAGCAGCCGCCGUAA
rnacentral:rRNA from 1 species